rnacentral:rRNA from 1 species
UACAGAGGUCUCAAGCGUUGUUCGGAUUCAUUGGGCGUAAAGGGUGCGUAGGUGGCGCUGUAAGUCGGGUGUGAAAUUUCGGAGCUUAACUCCGAAAUUGCAUUCGAUACUGCGGUGCUUGAGGACUGGAGAGGAGACUGGAAUUCAUGGUGUAGCAGUGAAAUGCGUAGAGAUCAUGAGGAAGACCAGUGGCGAAGGCGGGUCUCUGGACAGUUCCUGACACUGAGGCACGAAGGCCAGGGGAGCAAACGGG